CGUUAGGAUAUGCUGUGCUUAAUUAGCUAGUGAGGGUAAGCAGCCAACUUCCUAUCAGUCUGUCAACCAGCUCUGGGCUGACACACUCAAGAUUUCUUUUGGGAGCUGUAGAAGAGGGGCACAUAUGUGGUUGCAGGUCUUUGGCACUUACCCAGGUGGAAAACGUACAGGCAGUAAUGGAGCUGUUACCCAGGAAUAGUGAAGAUAGAGGCUCACAGUCAUAAGAACAACAGCUACCUCUAUUAGUUUGUCAAAGAAACAUCGCCUUGCGGUUUCUCCUUCAACUGCCAAACAUCCUUGAUAAUUAGGCUGGUGACUCUGGUACCAUCCUGUUCUUGUAUUUUGGAGGCCUCUAUUACGAACUUCUGAGAUCUAUGGUUCUAUGAGUCCUUCACCUGAAUCUUGAGCUUGCAUUUGUUAAAAAAAAAGUAAAUUAAACCGUCAAGUACAAACUAAGAUCAAGAUUUCCAUGAAGUACUGCACCAUUUCUCUGGAAGGUUUCCAAGAGAAGAAAAAUGUUGGUCCAUGGCUGAGAAAAAUAUGCAGGAGGAAAAAACCCCAAGAGAAAUAGAGAAAACCUAUGGAGGAAUGACUGGAUUCACUAAAGCUAAAAUGAA